rnacentral:piRNA from 1 species
UGCCUUAGACAUUCUUUUUAAAGUAUGAAA